rnacentral:rRNA from 1 species
ACCCCCUUAGUGGGAGAGUUCCACCAGAUUCCAUUAGAACUUUGGAGUUAAGCGUGCUUGGGUGGGAGCAGUCCCCAGAUGGGUGACCACUUGGGAAGUCGUCGUUGGUACGUGU